rnacentral:lncRNA from 1 species
GUGAAAUAAUAUGGUAGGAAAAUACUUUAUUUAUAUAACUAAUUGUAACGCCCCAAUAAUUUCACAUCGGAUGAGAUAUUGAUUUCGAUCAGUUUAUACUAGGGGUACACGUUAAUAAUAAUAACUGGGUUUAAAUAUUUUGGACCGGUUGUUUGACCCAACGAGUUAUUAUUGUAAGCAGAUCGGGUCAUUACAUUUGAAUUGGUAUCAAAGCAUUCCAAAUAUGUAGAAUAUACAAGAUACGAAAUUAAACGAUUAGAACGAUAAAGAUUAGAUACAAGCAAAUCAGAUUUAUAAUUCAAAAUAAUAAUAUAACGAUAAACAAGAAGAUUAGAUGAUCUCAAGAUUCGGUAUAGAGACGAAAAUGAGAAAAAAAAGAAAACGCGGUAUAGAGACGAAAAUGAGAAAAAAAAAAGAAAACCUUCUCAAAGACGGUAACGAUGACGAUGGAGUGCCGUCGACAACAAACAAAAAUGUCGAUAGAUGAGAUGUACGGCGGUGGUGGCCACGAAUGACGAUGACGAUGACGACAACGUUGACACAUGCGGAGCAGCUGGAAAGCCGUAUGGACAUGAGGGGAGAGGGAGUCUACUUUCUCAAAGACGGUAACGACGACGAUGGAGGAGUGCCGUCGACGCCGAACAAAAAUGUCGAUAGAUGAGAUGUACGGCG